rnacentral:hammerhead_ribozyme from 1 species
AUACAGUUGAAGAGUCCCAAAUAGGACGAAACGUGAUUCCUGGGU